AACAAGGCGUACCUGCGGACCUGCGGAAGGAUCAUUACAAGUGACCCCGGUUUACCACCGGGAUGUUCAUAACCCUUUGUUGUCCGACUCUGUUGCCUCCGGGGCGACCCUGCCUUCGGGCGGGGGCUCCGGGUGGACACUUCAAACUCUUGCGUAACUUUGCAGUCUGAGUAAACUUAAUUAAUAAAUUAAAACUUUCAACAAUGGAUCU
rnacentral:misc_RNA from 1 species